CUUAGGCAUAAUGAUAAAGUAAAAAAAAAAAUAAACAACUGGGCUUUACUGGUUCACAUUUUGUAACAAUGUUGUCAAUUCACCAACAUUAUUUGUAUAGUAUAUGGCUCCUAAAAUUAUCUCCACAAUAGAACUCACGCCCCAACAUCAACCGUGCAGAUGUUAAGUCUUAUCUAACAUUAACACAGAUGACAGACUCACAAGCUUUCAACAGAUCGAUGCUUGUGAAAUAUUUGUGUUCAUGAAUAGCCAUUCCGCAUUCUUAAGUG